UUAAUGAAAGCACAAAAAACUCACAUGCAUAUAUCUGAAGAAUAAUUUAUUGGUUCUAUGGAUCAAAAAAUUUAAAAUUCAUAAAAAGUAAACAAAGAUCCAUUUUUAAAAAACUUAAUUUUAUCUUCAAUUCAUUAAAAAAUAACAGUAAUAACAAUAAUAAUAAUAUUCAUAAAACUAAUUACACUAUUUCUAAAUCUUUUCAUGAAGCAAGAAAAAAAUGUAACUGAUAGAUAUCUAUAUAUACACCUUCUCUUACACAUAGUCCUACUUUUAUUUUCUUAUA
rnacentral:lncRNA from 1 species